UAUAAGUAUUCACUGUCUCUGUCAUUUGUUGGUUCUUUGUUUAUCUGUACUUGGGUAACAGACCCACUAGUUCCUUUGCUACAUUAAACUACCUAUUUUGAAACGAAGACAUGCCUGCAUUUAUUUUUCUACUUACAAAAGUACGGCGGAAUAAAUUGAACUCUUAAAAAUUCCACAUUAUUAGCGAGCCAGCCCAAAUCCGUCGUUCUUGUUGCGUUUUUCAAAAAAAAAAAAAAAACUGGGGAGGCUGACAUUCGCGUGUGACACUGGCCUACGAGACUUUCUUUUUUACGUUGACGCUGAAUUCAAGAAAGGAUUACAGCAAGAGGAGGACAGUUUUGGAAGCCAUUUGCCAACGCUGAAGGAAAAACGGACUUGAAGGCACGGAACGGACCACGUACAUUUAACUAAUUGAGAUGAGGACGAGGCUCCCGGUAUUCUGGAACUGGGGGUCAGCACUAAGUGGGAUGUUCCUGUCAUAUUCAUAAACGACACACAAUGUGUCAAGGACGAUACAAGCAGUUGCAGUUGGAUUCACCAAAUGACAUCAGACAGAUGGAAAGACAAUGAAGCAUUGACAACAGAGGACACGUGGAAUGUGUCAAGCAGAUCUCCAUAUAGAUCACAUAUGAUUCAGAGUAGAAGACAGUUUCCAAGAAUACUGGCAUCAGUAGUAGGUAAACAAAUGUUCCCCAUCUGAACAGUGUAUGCUGGUGUAAACCAGAAACCAGGGUGUGAUUAACACCUUAUAUUACCAUAUGGAAAUCAUGGGGGGUGACUCAGAACACACCAGUGACACUGGUCCACCCUCUCCACCCUCUCCACUUCCUCUAAAGGGUGAACUUUCCUCUCUGUGGACAGUUCAUUAUAGUUAAUAGAUACAAUUGCAUAACAUGUAUGAGUGUAAUAUGAGUCAGCCAUUCCCUUACCAGUUCAAACCUUAACAAUAGUAAACAAUACUGAUCAAACAUGACAAUGACAUUAGCUCAAUCAUAAACAGCAUGCAUUAGGGUAAACGUCCCUAUUAAGCCCACCAAAUCCGCUUUUCAGACAUUUUUCAUGUAUACUGCCCCAAUUUAAGUGAGAACAUUUUAGUUAUAAUGAAAGUCUAAUCUCUCAUUUGAAGUGUCAAUAAUUCAUUUAUACCAAUUUCUAAUGUUUUUAUUGUUUAAUUGGUCAAAAUAUGUCAAAAGUCUUGCAUGGGCUUAAUGGGUACCUAACGUACCCUUUAAGCCCAUGGGUGUUCCAAAUAAGCCCACUUAAUGAUUUGUUGAUAAAAAAAUAUAUAUUAAAAAAAUCUUAACAAUACAAACUUGUUCUAUUCAAAUCUGUAAUCUCUUAGCUCUCAAUAGCUAUUUUCAUUUUGUCUCCACUCCUAUCCUAUGGCCUGUAAAUGGCAUUUGAACUAGGCAUGACCAGCCUUUUUGCUGUGUUGUCAGCACAGAAUAAGUUAAACUUACAACAUGUCUUCUUUGGAAUGUAGCCAAAAAUCUAUUUACGAACAAAAUCAAAACUGUAGUGGAAAUUGCUCUUCAAUACUUCAUCUUUCAAUAUGUGUUGUCAUUUUGUCUGUAUCUCUAUCCUAUGGUGUACUGUUAGCAUUUGAAAUUGGCCAAAAUUUCUGGUCCAGCCAGCUGGUUGAAAGUGCAGGUGUUUUUAUGAAGAUUUCUGAAGACCGACUGACUGAAUGAAAAACAAUUUCAAGUUCAAUACUAAUGUUCUAAGGAUAGUAAAUGAGUCAAUUUCAGGAUUUACAAUUAAACAAUAACUUUUCAAAUGUUAAUCACAUUUAGGAUAGUAGUUUGAAAACAUUGUAAAAACACAUUUUAAAACCAUUCAGUUCAUUGUGGAGUAACAUUAAAACAUACAGUUCAUUAUGAGGAGACAUCAGUCAUAACAUAUUGAAGCUCAUGUAUCAUUAGCCUAUAACUUAAACAAAAUAAACAAGAAAGAUGUCAACAUUUCUGCAA